rnacentral:tRNA from 1 species
UGAAAGUUAGUUUAUAUAAAACAUAAAUUUGUCAAACUUAAGAUACUUAAAUUAAAGUACUUUCAU